AAAAAUAACCCACAGGAACAUCUUAGUGUAUCCUGUUUGUCUGUUUUCAUGCCCAGAGCCACGUCUGGUACACCAGAUUACACAAAGUCUGGCUGGAAGGGAGUGGCCUUGUCCAUUCCUCAGCAGGGCAGGAGUCCCCUUGCAGCUUCCAGCUAGACAUAGCUGUCUGCUUCUCCUGAGAUAUGUGAGGCCUGCCUGCUCCCCACGCUCCCUGGGACCCCACAUCACUCAAUGUUUCCUGGCCUGGUCAGGAGAUAGAGAUGUUUGUGACAUAUAUAAAAUCACAAGAGUAACCCUCCUCCCAAAACUUAUUUCAGCUAACAAAAAGUAAGCACUUUCAGAGCCCGACCCUUCAAGGAGCUGCUGCUGCAGAAGGGUGCUUCUAUGAUGCUCCUUCACCCAACUGUACCCCAUAGUAAGAUGCCCAGGCUCGGGUGGGCAGAAGGAGGAAGGAGGGACCUGGGAACCACGAGUCACCCAUUUCAGUGGAGGUUGAAUACGCAGAAUCAGGAAGCACAGAAAUCCACACCCAUAUCAUAAUGAAAUUGCAGCACACCAAAGGCAAAGAGAAGAUCUUUAAUGCAGCCAAGGAAAAAGCACAGAUUACAGAGAGCAGACGCUGAGACUGAGAGUAGACUUCGUAGUGGCCACAGUGGGAGCCGGAAGCCAUGGGAUACAGUGAGUGUGACUUGGGACUCUUCACCAUCAAAUUAGAAUCAGGAGUUGAAAUUGAUGGUUGUUCAAGAAUCUGCUCACGGUAAAGGGCAUUUCCAGAUGGGAAACAGAAUUUAUCACAACACGAAACUCAGGAGAGUGAGACUCAAGGAACUCACUGAAGAACGUACUUCCAGCAGAAGGAGAGUGGUCCUGGAGAAAGGGUGUGAUUCUGAGAUAGGCAGAUGAACAGAGCAGUCAGUGAAGACGUGAGCAACGGAAAGCAACGUGGACUCUAAAGCUCUGUUAACUGGGUGACCCUGGUUAUCUGGGUUGCGGGGAGAAAAAUUAGAGCCCUCACCAACACCACACAGCAAAUAAGCUCUGAAUGUUUUAAAGCCUAGAAGAUGCUAUGGGAGAGCAUCUUCAUGGGCUCUGGAGAUGAAAGGCCUUCUUUAACAAGGUCCUAAAUGCCCAGUGAAGGAAAACAUUAAGAAAUUCAGGCCGAUCGUGCUGGCUCAUGCUUGUAAUCCCAGCACUUUGGGAGACCGAGUUGGGUGGAUCGCUUGAGCCUAGGAGUUCAAGACCAACAAGGCAAAACCCCAUCUCUACCAAAAAAGUGCAAAAAUUAGCCAAGGGUGGUGGUGCGUGCCUGCAGUUCCAGCUACUCGGGAAGCUGAGGCAGGAGGAUCACUUCAACCUGGGAGGCAGAGGCUGCAGUGAGCCGAGAUCGGGCCACUGGCACUCCAGCCUGGGUAGCAGAGUGAGAAACUGUCUCAAAAAAUAAUAAUAAAAAAAAAAUUUGCCCGGGCACAGUGGCUCAUGCCUGUAAUCCCAGCACUUUGGGAGGCCAAGGCAGGUGGAUCACGAGGUCAAGAGAUCGAGACCAUCCUGGCCAACAUGGUGAAACCCCAUCUCUACUAAAAAUACAAAAAAUUAGCUGGGCAUGGUGGUGCGCACCUGUAGUCCCAGCUACUCAGGAGGCUGAGGCAGAAGAAUCACUUGAACCCGAGAGGUGGAGGUUGCAGUGAGCCGAGAUCACACCAUUGUACUGCAGCCUGGCGACAGAGUGAGACUCCAUCUCAAAAUAAGUAAAUAAAUAAAUUAAUUAAUUAAUUAAAAAAUUAAAAUAAAAAAAAUUACCCAGACAUAGUGGCUCGAGUCUAUAGUCCUACAUAUUUGUGGGGCUGAGGUGGGUGGAUCACUUGAGCCCAGGAUGUCAAGGAUGCAGUGAGGCAUGAUCGUGUGACUGUACUGUAGUCUAAGCAACAGAGUGAGACCCUGUCUUCCCUACCGAAAAAAAAGAAAACACACAACAUUUAUCCAUUAGGUUCUCGUCUUAUAUGGACACCCAAAACAAUUGCAUAGUAACAUCAAAGAUCAUUGAUCACAGAUCACCAUAGCGGUAUAAUAAUGAUAAUGUGGCUGGGCACAGUGGCUCACGCCUGUAAUCCCGGUACUUUGGGAGGCCGAGGCAGGUGGAUCACCUGAGGUCAGGAGUUCGAGACCAGCCUGACCAACAUGGCAAAACCCCAUCUCUACUAAAAAUACAAAAUUAGCCGGGCGUGGAGGCGCAUGCCUGUAAUCCCAGCUACUCGGGAGGCUGAGCUGAAUUGCUUGAACCUAGAAGGUGGAGGUUAUGGUGAGCCAAGAUCGCACCACUGCACUCCAGCCUGGGCAACAAGAGCGAAACUCUGUCUCAAAAAAAAUAAAAAUAAAAAUAAUGAAAAUGUUUGAAAUAUUGCAUGAAUUACCAAAAUGUGACACAGAGACACAAAGUGAACACAUCCUGUUGAAAAAAUGGCUCUUGUAAGACUUGCUCAACACAGGGUUGAAAAUCUGGGUUUCUAAAAAAACACACAUAAUCACUAAUAUGUUUAUCUGUAUCCAAUAAAAGAAAAUGGCCUUAAAAUACAAUAUUAAUAUGAUCAAUAAAGCCACAGAAGUCUGGUUUUGUAAUGCAGUUUUUUUUUUAAAUGAUCUCUCAAAUCGUCAUUCCCACUAAGUAGUAUGUGUGGUCAAAUCCUAUUCUAGAACUGGGCAGUACAGUAGUCACUAGCCAUAUUUGGCCAUGAAGCACCUGAAAUGUGACUAGUCUGAACUGAGAAGUACAAGCAUAAAGCACAUGUCAGAUUUCAAAGACAGUACAAAUAACGGAAUGUAAAAUAUCUCAUUAAUAAUUAAUAAUUGUAUAGUGUACACUGCUUGGGUGAUGGGUGCACCAAAAUCUCAGAAAUCAC
rnacentral:lncRNA from 1 species